rnacentral:lncRNA from 1 species
CGGGUAUACGAUUGUUUACUUCCUGCAUUGAAACGUUCAUAACGAUCAACUUUUUCUUCUAUUCAACUCUCCAGAACAUUUAUUAUUAUUAUUAUUUACUGAAUGGAAGUAUUUUGCUCCCACUUCCAAGCCUAAUGCUUUUUUCAACCUGCAUUUCGGCCUCAGUUAAACCACCUAGUUUUUGUUGUUGAGAAAGAAAGAUGCACAAUGAUGUCUGGCGUUUUGCUUUUUAUUGUCCUGAUAACUUUUGUCUUCAUGUCAGUUUUGAACUCUGUAAGAAUACUCUUUAGUAAUGAAAGAACUGUUUAAAUUCAAGUUCAUCGAUGGAUUCAUGAGUGUAUCUAGCAACCUUAGUCAUAUUAGAGAAAAUAAUUGUUUUUAGGAAAAAAGAAGUGUAGUUUCGUUUUUAUACUUGGUUUUGUGAAAGAUAAUAAUCUUAGGAACUUACCACCAAUAGCAAAGUAAUCUUGAAGCCCUCUUGGAGCCCUCCUUUUGCUUUGUUGUAGUUUGUUGGUGUGUUCGGAACACAUUUUGAACCGUUUAAUCUAAAAUGUAAAAUUAUUUUUGAAACAAUUGGCAUGCUUAACAACUACUUAAUAUAAGUUUUCUCAUAAGAAUUUAAAUAAAAAUGAGUUUUUUGUAUCCUUAAUCUAUUAAUUAAGCUACUCAGCCCAGCAUAAUAGUUAUGUUUUUCAUAUUACUGGCACUUAAAUUGGAUGUCUUGUUAGUUUUAGGUAAGAUAAAUCUAGUUAACUAUAACUUAUUGCCAUUUUAGAGUUGAUUUUGUGUAAUUGGAUCACUCUAUUCUAUUAUAUGUUCAACAAAUUAUAAAACAUACUUUUGUUUUUUUAAAACAAAUUGUGAGCUUUAGUUGAUUUUGUUCGUGAAUCAAAUGGUUAACGUGAGUUCAGCUCAACUGACAUUAUGUUCUUGAGGACAAUAUGUCACGGGUUCAAAUCUUCCACUUCAAGUUGUACCUAAUAAUACAUUUUAAAAAACUUAAUCUUGAUCAAAACAAAAUUUUCAAUUUUUGGAGAAAACUGAAAUCAAAUCGAUUAAACAACGAGUGAAACUAAGCAAUCGAAACUGAAUCAAAAUCAUAGAUAAAUUACGUCAUCCAAUCCCACAACAAGUUUAAAUGGUUUAAUUCUCAAUUUACGAAGUAAUAGACCACAUGUGAAAUUUUAUGGGUUAGGAUAAACUUUCUAUAAAAAAAUUCAUGUCUCAAUUGUGCCUACUCACCAUCUUGACAACAUAACACUUUAAUAUUAAAUUUUAUCACUAAUAAUAUAUAUUUAGUGGACGACUCGGUUUUUUAAUAUGUUUUUUUGACCUAACUUGAACCUGACCAAGUAGCUCGUUUUAUAUAUUAUCAAUUUGAACCAAAAAACAAUCAAGUUUUAACUCGAAUGGAUCAACAAUUUGGGUCGGCUUAGAUCAUUUUUACUUGCACUCAUGACAUGAAGAAUGCACGUGAUGCUAUUUUUGUACAUACCCGUCUCAAAAGGAGGUUCCAUAACUUGGUUGGGCUACCAUAACAUUUCGCUCUUGGGAAAAUUGUUAUAAAUCAUUAAUUUGAGGUGAAUCACACACUUAAUCCUAUAAUUAAAAUACAAUUCAAAUUCAGUCUACACUAUUAUUAUUAUUAUUUUUUGUAUACAACAAGAUAAGAAAAGAAGCUAUAGAACACCACAAGAUAUAAGUAAUGAAAAUCAUCGGGAAAAGGAAAAAGUAGAAUAUAAAAAAAAUCUCUCAGUUAAGGUCCUUAUUGCAAAGUUUCUUGAAUGAAAAUCGGAUACUUUAGUUAGAUUAGAUCUAAAUCGAUUAUAAUUUAUCGGGUUGGCUACCUCCAAACAAUUAAAUUCCACUUAUAUCAGAAUCAACAUUUCUAAUUAGAGAUGCAUUAUCCGCCAACUAGACAAACUCAUCAAUAAUCACCAACUAUAUAAUUUUUUUCAUUUUACAAUCAUUUAAAAUUUAUUAAUAGACAAAAAAAAAAAAAAUGGAAAGUGAGUACUUCAUUAACAAUAGUAAACAUGUGAAUCUUGAAACUAUUAAAAGAGUGACAAUAUAACAUCAUAGAACUAAGACCUAAAAUUGAAGAACUAAAAAUGAAAUUUUCUCAUAAUUUUAGCACUGACUAGACCGAUGAUCGUCGAGUUAUUUUUCAAAAGAAUUGUUACAAAGAUGGUGGCUCGGUGAGUGGUGGGGUCUUAGUUUUCCAAAUGUAUUUAUUUAUUUAAGACAAAAAGGAGUGCACAUGGAGGAAGCAGGAAAUUUUUUGGGAUCUUCGCCGGAGAAAGCUUGUCGGAGAAAUAAGAACCAUCGGAGCAACGGUGGAUAUUUGAAGCUGAUGAUGAUCGUUGAUGAAUUUUAGUUUUGUCUAUAGUGAAAAAAUAGGGAUUGGCACUUUGGUGAAAUCGGGGGCCAAAUCUCCUCAUUCCAAUUACUGCUGAGUUGGUGCGGAAAGUUUGGUAUCUUCUUCCUCGCGAAAACCCUAAACCCUUCUUUCUCUCUUAGCUCUUCCCCAUGGCGUCGUCCUCUUAUCUUCCUUUGGUUUCUGGUAAUUCCAUCUAAUACUCUGGGCGCUUUGAUUUUUAUGCUUUUGUUGAUUCUGUUUGAGUGCUUGAAGGGAUUUUAGGAUAUUUGUACAGUUGGGUUAGUUCUUGUAUCACUGGUUGUGUUAAUGCUGACUUGUUUUGUAUGGGAAAAUGGUUUUCAUGGAAUAUUCUCUAAUGCUACUAGGUUGGGGUUGAAUUACGUCUACUCGUAAUAGCCGAACUGACAUUAAAAUGAGUUCGAACUAUAUAUCUCAUUUGUCUCGUAUGUGUAUGUGUGUGUGUAUAUAUAUGUUUAUAUGUGCAUAUGUAUCUGUAUAUAUGUAUAUGUGUAUAUAUAGAUGUAUGUAUGUCUAUGUAUGUGUAGAUAUCUAUGUAUAUGUAUGUGUAUAUAUAUGCAUAUCUACGAGUAUAUGUAUAUCUAUGUGUAUUUAUAUGUAUAUUGAGGAACUUCACCAUGAUCCUAAUAUUUAGCAGACAAAAUGGCAAGCGGAGAGUUCUAACGGGAAAUGAAAAGACACUGUGCAUAAAAUUUGUUUCUUUAUUUGGAAUUCCAUCAAUAUCUUUUUCAACAGUAAUUUGUUGAAGAAGAGAAGCACAGCUCCAAUGGAGGCAACGCCAAACGAAAGCGAAGACAAGGGAAUCGGAUCCUCAAUUUCAUUAUACUCCUUUCAUUUAUGGAACCAAAUUGUAUCAUUUUUGCCAUCUCGUCAUGAUUCCAAUUUUCUUUGGAAGCUUUCGAGUCUCCUUCGUCGAAAGAGACGCAAGACUGGUCUUCCUCUUCCUCUACCUUUGAACUCGAUAAACUCUUCUGUGUAAGUCGCUUUAGUUCUACACUUUUUAUUUAUUUUCCUUUAUCUUUUGUUCCAUUUUAUUCUACAUAGCAUAUUUAUUUUUCUGGAAGUCUAUAUUUGUCUCGUAGUUUACAGUCUACACAACUGCAACUAUUUUAGUGGCAGAAGUUAUCGUCUGGUUGUGCCGUGUGAAAUGGAUAUGGAGAUAUCCUUAAUUUGAAGUUUCAUAAAAGGCUGAGGCUAUGAUGUUGUAUGAAAUGGAAUGAAAUUCACAAUGCCACCACAACUAGAUAUGAAUUCCCCCCCCCCCCCCCCACACAUCGCGUAGUAUUGUCCGAUCAUUGUAGUCCUCUCACCGAUCAUGAGUCUUUGGAGAUAGCGAGUCUUAUUUCCAUUAUUUUCAAUAAGAGGAUUUUUGUUGGGAGAACGGAGAAGGGAUGUUUGUUUUUGGAUUCCUAAUCCGUCCAAACGUUUCUCAUAUCACUAUUUUCUAUUUGUUUUUGUUCCCUUUCUCCCAUUUAAGAAAACUCAAAAUUUUCUCUUUAUGGAAGGUGAAAGUUCCUAAGAAAGUGAAAUUAUUUGUUUGCCAGUCUUACAUGGAAGAGUGAACACUCGAGAUCAUUUGCAACGACAUUCUUCCUUCGCUCUAUGUUUGCAUUGGUGUGGGGGAGUGUCAUGAAAGAGAAGCAUGGCCUGUGAGUUGGUGGGGCAUGGCUCCCAUCUGCUUAGUUGGGAGUUGGUAGGGCAUCUUGUGAGUUAGGGAGGGUUAGGGAUUGGUAACAUUAGAAUCCAGAACAAACCUUUGUUGGCAAAGUGGCUUUGGAGUUUCUAUCUGGAAUCCGAUUCUCUUUGGCAUAAGAUUGUUGUGAGCAAGCAUGGCUCUCAUCCUUUUGAAUGGAUGGCUUUUGGGGUUAAAGACACUUUUUUAAAUCCUUGGAAGGAUCUCUUUCGAGCUCCCUUCUUUUUUUGAGUUUUCUAGUUGUUUUGUGGGGGAUGGUAAGGACACUUAUUUUUGGGAGGAUCAGUGGGUAGGGGAGAACUUCCUAUGUUCGAUUUUUUUGCAUCUGUAUCAUUUAUCCUCUUCCAAAAAUUGCACUACCUCGAAUCUUUUGGUGAGAUAUGAGAAUUCCAUGUCUUUCUCUUUUGGAUUCCGUCGUAAUUUGACCAAUAAGGAGAUGACGGAGGUGGCUUCUCUUUUAUCCUUACUUGAGGGAUGCUCUUUUAGAGAGGGGAGAAGGGAUAUUCGUGUUUGGAAUCUUAAUCUUAGUCGAGGUUUCUCUUGUAAGUCUAUGUUAAGUCUGUUGUUGGAUCCCGCACUCCCUAAAGAGUUGGUUUUUGAUGUGGUGUGGAGGACUAAGGUGCCUAAGAAAGUUAGGUCUUUAUCUGGCACGUCUUUCUUGGUUGGGUUAAUAUCGUUGAUAGGAGAAGAAUUUUGCUUGUUGUGCCUUUUUGUUGCAUGUUGUGUUGGAAGGCGGAGGAUGAUCUUGUUCAUCUUUUUUGGGAUUGCCAGUUUGCAAGGGCCAUGUGGAGCUCCUUCCUUAAGGUGUUCGGUGUUAGCUUUGCUGGUUUACGUAGCAUCAAAGUGAUGAUUGAGGAGUUCCUCCUCCAUCUACCUUUAAGAGAUAAAUGGUUGUUUUUAAUGGCUUGUCGGGGUGUGCAUGGUUAUUUGAGACAUUUGGGGUGAGAGGAACGAUAGGGUGUUCCGGGGGAGAUGGAGAGGGAUCUUAGUGAGAUUUGGUCCUUAAUUAGAUUCCAUGUGUCUUUUUGGACUUCGAUUUCGAAGAACUUUUGUAACUUCUCCAUAGAUAAUAUUUUACUUAGUUGGUCCCCCAUUUUAUAAGUGGGGUGGCUUGGUGGGAUGUUUUUUUUGUAUGCCCUUGUAUUUUUUUCAUUUUUUUCUCAAUGAAAGCUGUGUGAUUUCAUAAAAAAAAAUGUCUGCAUUGGUGUGCCCUGUGUCAUUGGAAGGAAGAGGAUCUUGAUUCUUGACCACCUUCAUAUGGGAUUUCUAUUGCCAGUUUGCUUAUUCUCCUGUGAAGUCAUUCGUUUCGGAUGUUUAUGGGAAGUGUGGAUGGAGAAGAAUAGUCGCUUUUGUUGACCAGUCUUUUUAUAAUUAUCAGCCUGGUGUUAUUCUUUUAGCUUGGAGUCCUUUCUUGUUUAGCAAUGGACUUCUUUUGUAGACUUGUCUUUGUAUGCCCUUGUAAAUAUUUCAUAUCUCCUAAAUGAAAGCUCCUUUUCUUCUUAAAAAAAUAAAAGUCAACCACAAUGUCAAUGACACAAGUUCCUAUUGAGGAACCACAUGAUUUCUAGAAUUUACAGAGCGUGGUGUUUGUAUAUUUUUUUUUUUGCAUAAAUUUUAUCACCGGUCUCUUAUCUAUGACUUGCUUUGAGCACUGUGAACAUUUUUAUGCUUGCCCUUUGCACUCUCUACUACAUGGGUGAAUUAUUUUGAACAAAACAACUUGGGAGCUUGGUUUGUCUGGGUCUUCUUAUGCCAAAUCUUAAUUGGUUGUUGGAUGCUCUUAAUUCUUCUCAAGUUGCACACUCAGGCCAUCUGGCCAUUGAAGACGAUCAAUGAGGUUUGCCUCUGUAAUUGUUUGCUAGUUAUUGUGGAAGUGAAUACCAAGGAGUGUACACAAAUUAGAUACAAAUAUUGUGAGUUUGUUCAUUUUAUGGCAUUUCGACUGUGCCCUUCAGGCCUUCACAAAGCAUUGUUCGGUGACUACCCUGUUUUUGUUCAGCAGCUUGAUUGGCAGGUUCUGUUUGCAAUGGGUUUCCUUCGUGGGGUUUCAAAACCCCUUUCACUAGGUUGUUUUAUUUAUUUAUUCAAUUUGAUAUGAACAUACGAUUUCUCAUAAGAAAAAAAGUAGAUACAGGUGUUAAUGGUCCCCCCUCCCUCCCCCAAUGCUAUUAGCUUAACGCUCAAUGAAAGGUUACUUUUUAUUUGCCAGAAGGCAAGUAGGAUCAUUCGUAAAUCUGGCCCGCUUUAUUUAUAACCUGAUUUUCAAAUGUUUGGUAUUGCUUGAGCUUUUCUUUCAAGUCAUAAUGCCAGUUACCCGAAACCCAUCUUAGUAGUAACAUUUGGUAAAUUUUUAUGAUAUUCAGAUUGUAUGCUUAUCUGAUCCGUUCAUGGAAACUGUGAACAGUUUAACAGUAACUGGCUGGGAACCAGCAGAGGCUUCUAGACUGUACGAUGUUCUGGGAAAUCUCUUAGAGCACUGUUUCUCAAAUUUACAUAGCAUUUGGAAGAACCUGCAAUUCUGGCAAUCUCGUGCGGAGGCAAGUCUUUUUGUUCCCUUGUGUUUUUAACCAAUCUAUUUUAUGCAUAUAUCAAAGAUGCGUGGAAGAAAAUAUAGGUCCAAUAUAACUGUUUUUGUGUCUUCAAAAGAGCUGCUAUCCAGCGACAUCCUUCUUUCAAAAUGCAAAAUUAGAUUAUCUCAACGUUACAACCAAGAUUAGACUGAUCAGUCAUACUCCAGUUGUUCCUUUAAGUUUCUAUCUUCUUCCACAAACAUCCAAUGAGUGUAGAUGGGCUUUAGUUUACCCAAAGUACCAAAAAAUUGUUAAAACUGAGAACAACGUGCCCCCCCCCAAGAGUAGUCAGGAACAAUGAUGAAAGCUUCCCCUCUUUUUCCACACACUUUCAUGGAGACAAAUAAUAGAGGUAUCUUUUCCUGCAACAUAUGUUCAGUAACAAUCUUUUUCUGAGCGAUGCUCAAGGGGUUAAAUUGAUUGAAAUCUAAGUAAUGAAUUUUUAUAAGAAAUCUAAAUCAAUUUUUUGUAAUCUAAAGUAAAGAACAUGAAGAAGGAACUACAAGGAAAAUUCCUUUUGUUGAAAGUCCUUCCUUCAUGAUUUGAUGAAAGGGGCCUGCCAUCCUCUUCAGUUCACUGUGCUCACUGACUUUUUAAUGCAAAGCAUAUGAUUGAAUGAAAGGUUGUGUGUGCUUAUGUCAUUAUUUUGAUGAAAAUUUCAGGGUACAAAUGCUCAAAAGGUUUACUUUUUGAUUUGUGAGAGAGGUCCAAGGGCGUUUUUCAGUGGAACAGUGCAGUUAAUGCGCCAAAGUCUUAGGGAUGGUUUUUCCUUGCAACAUGUAGCUCGUGAGGCAUCUCUUUACAUAGCUCACCGGAUAAGUAUAUUGAGCAACCUAAGAUGUCAUCUUGCAGUUUUUGUGGCUCAGGUUUGGUUGCCCUUUUCAAUACUUACUUUUUCAAACGCAAUCUCAUCAUUUUUGUGGUUCUAUUCUAUCCUUGAAAAGACAGUUGGCUCACUCAUACACUUAAUGAGGUUUUUCAUAUUUUCAUUUGGCAAGUGUUUCAUAUAAAAACUUGUUGAUCGCUUUAGAACAUCUCUCCCUGUCUUUUGCCUUUCCCUCCUGCGGUAUAAUAACAGUUUAACUGCUUCACAUUUGAAUUUUAGCUCUCUCUCAAUUUCUUGUUGGGUUAUUUUGACUUUGUUCUUUUAUGGUUCUUGUAGGUCUUUAUGGAAAUUGACAAAAUAGGGGCAGAGGCAGUGGAUGGUCAAGAAAAUUCCUUACCUUCAUUGUUGGUUACAUUGAAUGGCUUAUUUCUCGAUCUAGAGGCAUCCAUUUGUCAACUGCAUGCAACACCUCAUGUAACUUGACAUUAUUUGUUAACUUUAUUGUGAAAAAUGCUGAAGCAGAAAUUAUUAUAAUUUCACAUUUCAGUUCCCAAUAUUUACUUUGUAAUUGACUGUGCAGAUGGAUUUUAUUGAUGACAGCGUUUCAUUUCCUCUAUUUGAAAAAGUACCAGAUGUGAACAAGGAGGGAUCUCAGUGGACAAGUUGUGAAAUUGGUGAUGCUAUCAACUUGCUUUAUCAGAACCUUCAUAAGUUGGACUCUUUCAUCUCCAAUCUUGUAAGAUCUCAUUUUAGAGCUCCUAUUAUUACUAAUUUAAUUUCACAACCUGAAAAAUUUUGUAGUCAAGAAGAAUACUUCCAAUUUGAUUUUCAAGAUCUGUGGCCACGAAUUCUCAGAUCAAAGGGAAUAUAUUGCUACUACUAUUCAUAACCGUUUGAUGAUUUACAACUCACCUUUAAGCCUGCACUAUAUAAGCACAUUUAUCAUUUUGCUGGAAAUAUAGCUCAUUUAAUGUUGUCAUGAUUCUGUCCAUUAUGGUGACAGCUUGAUAAAUUGAGAUUAAGAAAUAGUAUUAUCACCUACAACGUAAAAUUCUUUGCACUGAGUUUAUUUAUUUAUAUAUUUUUAUUUUAAUAAUGUUAUUAUUUUUUAAAAGGAAACCGAUCUCUUCAUUGAAGUAGCAAAAUGACAAUAAUGCUUAAGGUACAAAAAAACGGUACAAAAAGCGAGGGAGAAAUUUUCACUAAACCCUCGUUUCUUGAAUCAAGACCACAAGAAAUGAGGGUUUCAUACCAACAAGAUUCAACGAGCUCUCUUUGGUGCUUUUGAGGACGAGAGUCUAUAGGAACUCUCCUCUCUCCUCUCCCCACCCCGUCCUUCCACCUGUGAACAAUUUCCUCUGGUGACUUUCCUUCUUGGGUUUCUAUCCGUUUGCCGGUUCCAUUAGUUACUUCAAUACACUCAGCUGCCUCCCCAGUGGUUCGCUCAUCCCACAUAAUAGUCACUAGCUAUGGAGGUGGUCAGUUGCAAGGUGAACGGUCAGUUAUGAAUUUUGUUUGAUUCGGGUGGUUUUUCGUUGAAGAUGUGGAAGUUAACAAGAUUCUUUCAUUAGCUGAGUCUCACCUUCACUCGUUUGUGGAUCGAAUAUCAGCAUUACUUUAGGGGCCAAGUAAUCGUUUUUCGUCAGGAAUGGUCAUGAGAAAGCUAGGGUGAUAAGGCACUGUUGAGUCAAAUUUUCACCUCAUUUAUUACUACCAGUUUAGUGGAAACUUGACUGAACAGUGCCCACUCCUCUGAAGUGAAAAAGCUUAUCAAUCAAUUUGAUGAAAAGUCUUGUCUCCUUUUAGGAAAAACAGUCCCCACACCUCUGUAUAUGGAUCGUAAUCACUAAAGAUUAUUUGGGAGAAUCAAUAUAUUGUAUUCCAAUCAUUUCGGAAUUCAUAUGCUAUAGACACAUGUACAAGGAUUAUCUAAGGUAAGUAGUGGAAGCUAAUGAAGGGCAUAGUGUAAAUCACCCCUGAAUUUCUGGUAAAUUUACCUUUUAGUCAUACUACAACACUCUUCACUUUUGGGCUUGAAAUUGACAUGAGGCGAUGAGGGUCAGAACGUGGUUAUGAAUAUUAAUUGGCAGGAGAUGACCUUCAAGAUAGUUGUCUGAAUAUAUGGACUCUUGUGCCAUUUUAAAUCAUUAACCAAUCUAAACAAAGUUAAGCUGAUGGGUGACAUUAAACAUAAUUUUAUUCAUAGUUCAACACAAAAUACCAAUACAAAUACUAUUAUGCCCUCCUCAGGUCAGUAUUGAAAACGAAGUUACGGAGCACCAUGAGUUACUCCCUACAGUGAUGUGUUUAUUUUUUAUAGUUUAUGAAUACUCACUAAGAAGUGUUCAUUUAUGUGUGUCUUCCUUGUAUGCUGAUGCUUCUUUUUGUGUUUUUCCUUGUGUUCUGAUGUGUACUCAUCUUCCUUUUUAGGUUUGUAAACAUCGAAAGCCAAGGAAACUAACUCAAUACUGGCUUGGAUAUUCUUGUGGUGCAAUUGGUCUUUCAAUCUGUUCUGCUUGGCUUGUUCAACAUAGUAGUUUAAUGGGGAGCAAUGACAUUGAUAAUUGGGUUCGCGAAGCACAUAAUUCAGCAGCUAGUUUUUUCAAGGAUCAUGUAGAACAACCGGUACUAUUUUUACUAUUUGAAUUUGGUUUCCUUUGUCAUGAUUGGAAAUUUGGAGCACCUUUGUUUAUUUUCUUUACCACUGUAUUUUACUUUUCUUGGGUUUGGUCUUCAGUAUGGUUGAUUAUUAGGCUUAAAUAACUUUAAAGUCUCUCUUCAUGUCAUAAUGAAUACUUUUUUAAUUUAUCAACUGUGAGAAGACGUGCUUUGUUUCCCAAUAUGAGUGUUUUGAGUGUUUGUUGGCCAAGGAGGUGAUCAAGGGUAUUCUCUUCCUACUGAAUUUUCUAUGCACAAUGACCUUUCUUGUCAUAUGUAUCCAUUAUAAAGGAUCUAUGGGUGUGCUUAGAGAACUUUUGGGCAUGCUAAUAAUUAUUACUGGUUUCUUGGAGGGGUCAAGGGUCUUUAAUGUUGCUUUGUUAAAGUAUCUUUUUUAAUGAGAGACUUGUGAAUAAUUUCAUUGAUGGGAUGAAAUUACAAAAUACUAUUUCAUUGUGAAAAUAAGAGAAGUAAGGUUGUAAUCACAUAAGUGUGGGGUGAAUUUACACCAAGGUUGUAUACAAAAGAUGAUUGAAAAAGUGAGUGAAGUCGAAUUCCUUAUCUUUGAAAGUACGAUGGCUGCAUUCGUUCCAGAUGAGCCAAAAGAAGGCUUUUACAAUGAAGCACCAGAAGGCCUCUUUUUUGUUUUUGAAUGGAUGGCCAAUCAGUAGCAGAUAUAAUUAAAAAAUUUCAUAAUCCAAUUUAAUAUAUUAUUAGAGUAGGAGAUCUUGUGUUCGAACUCUUUUAAUGUCAUUUCUUUCGAAUUAAUGCGAUUUUCACUUGUUUGACCUUACAAAUUUUCAAGUUCACAGGUGAAGGAGAUCGUUAAAAUAUUGAUAUAAUUACAAUUUAUCAUAAGCCAUCAGCUUGAGCUCUUGGAUUGAUGGAUGAAACAUGCCGGUUGAGUUGAGAAGUUUGAUGAUGGUUGAAGAACUAGAAAUAUUGAAUUCUUGGGCGAUUUCUUGAUGCUUGUGGUUGUCUUUGGCUUGGUUGGUUUCUGUUUGAUAAAUGGUUGUCUUAUGCAUUGGAUCUUAGGGAUUGUAGAAUUAGUUUGAGGAUUGUUUCCCUAGAGCUUCUCCAUAGACUAGGUUCACAAGGCUUGCCGCUUGUUAGUAUUCAAUCCUUCCAAGAAGUGAUAUGUUGAGUGUUAUAAGAUUAAAUUUACCUUCACUUAUUAGCUUAAGCUUUUGGUUCAAUCAAUAAUUUAAGAUAUUAUCAAAGAGAUGUGGUCCAGGAUGUCAUGUGUUCAAGUCCAAAUGUUGUUUCCUCCCCAAUUAAAAUUGAUUUUCAUUGUUGGAUCUUUCACAUAUUUCAAGCCCACAAGUGAGGAGGGGUGUUGAAUGAUAUAAUAUUUAAUUUACUUUCACCUAUCAACUUAAGUUUUUGGGUCAAUCGUUGAUUUAAGAUGAACCCUUAAAAUGGUUACCAAAAUAGGUUUGAUGUCCAUGCUAGGGUGCAAUGAAAUCUACAUUAUUGUAACUUAAUCGUGAUUGAUUUCUAACUGAAGUGACAAUUAAAAAAUUCCUGGAACUGAUAUUCCAACUCCCUAUUUUGCAGCUUAUUUCAAUUAGAGAUGAACUUUUUGAUACAUUUAGAAAGAGGCAUAAAGGUGUGAUGGAGGUUCAAGAAGUUCAGUUAACUGCUAUCUCGCUGCACAGGUGAUUGUCGUUCACUGACUUAAUGUUUCUCCAACUCUGAGCUCCAGUUUAUUGUUGGAAAUGAGAAAUGUCAGUCUUGCACAACUUAUUUCUAUCUCCAAUCAUAAAAUGAAGAACUUUUUGAAAAACUGUUUUAAUGAAAAGCUUCAUAUCCUACGUUGGUGAUAGAAAUAAGUUGUGCAGCGAGAUUUAUGAAGGAAGAUUCUGCAUUGUGGUGACAAGUAAUUAAAAGUAUUCAUGUUGACAAGUAAUUAAAAGCAUUCAUGGCUGCCAAAAGUUUGAGUGGCAGACCUUAAAUAAAUCAGGAAAUAGCUUAAGAAGUCCGUGGACCAGUAUAUCUAGAGAAUGGAAUAAGGUGGAAAUGUUGACCCCUUUCAAGAUUUGUAAUGGCAGAAGGGUAAGUUUCUGGAAUAAGGUCGCCACAACGCAGAAUCUUCUGUCAUAACAAACACUCCCUCAGUCACCAACCCAUUUGGGUUGAGUUUGAUCCGUGUCAAUAUGGUGGAGGUUGAUGACAUUUAGUUAACUUAUUCUUUCCAUAUGAUGUUUCUUCUCACAUUGAUUUUUUCUUUAGACUAAUAGUUGAUAAAGUUACGAAUUUGUCUUGAAAAAUUGUUAAUUUUGCAGCUGUAGGUGAUCGUUUCCCUAAAUUUUUCAAAGAUAUGUGAUGCACUAUAAAUAUUUCUGCGGAUAUUGAAACUGCAAUUCAUAAGCCUAUAAUUUGGAUGAAAGAAUAAUUUUACUUGUUCUAUGAAAUGGUAAUUUGGAACACAUUAAACAAAACUAAUAUUUAAUCAUAAACUUAAUAAAAUAGUUAUCAGAAACAUGUUUCACUAGCAUGUUUUGUGGAAAACAAAACUAUUUUUUAAACAAUUCUCAUACAAGCCCUAGAUUUACGGCAACAUCCACACACACACAUAUAUAUGAAGAAAAAAAAAAUUUAAGAAUUGUUCUCUUCUUUCCAGAAUGUUACUUGCUUUCAGUGAGCACACAAAAGGCCAGAAGUUUCCAGAUGAUGCAUCGGAUCAAGAAAUGCUUGCAAUAGUUAUGACCAGGUUAUCCUUCAUAUUUUGUUUGUUGUUUUAUCUGCCGUUGCAAGGUGCAUGCAUUUGUUCUUGAAAACUGAAUAGGGCUGGCAUUUCUUAUAAUCAGUGUUAUUGGAUCUUCUUUGGACCAUAUUUCUCUUGAUUCCGUAAUCAGUGGAUUGGCAAUUGAACACUGAUCUCACAAAUAAUUGGUCUAAACAUCGAAUAUUGUGUCAUUCUUCAUAUUAUGUCCCAAAUUCAACUUUCUCCUCUUGGUUUUCUAAUGAGUUCUUCAAUCACAUUGGGACACUGCUGUUUGCUCUAUUGAAGUUUAUAUCAACAGCUUGGGUAAUAUUUAUCAACACGCAUGUUUCGUCUUACUUCAUUGCUCUCUUAUGUGGGGGGUUCAAAUGUUGUUUGACAGUAGACACCUUUCUUUUCUCACUUUUUCUCUCUGCAAAUUUCGUGGAAGAUAGUUAGGUUCUGUGGGUGUUGGUUUGGUUAUUCCUACUUUGGUAAACGAAAAGACAGCUUGUUUUGUGGAAUCUGUAUACAUAGAACGGCAAGUCCUUUGGCUGUACCAUUAGAAGUGUCAUGUGAAUGCUUUGCUAGAAAAACACAAAUAUUUUCAGAAAUUCUACAAAGAAACCUUUUUAUGUGUGUGCGUGUAUUUUGUCGCUAACAGAGAGCUUUCACUUAAAUUUCACAACUAUUCUUAUAUUAAUGCGAUAUCUAAAAUCAUGCUUCCUAUGAAAAAACAUUGUAAUACUCUAAUGUCAACGUUCAUCUAAAUGAAUAAUUUUUUUCAGUGAUGGAUAUCAAUUGUUUUUCCUAUAUAGGUAUGAGAAAGAACUGAUGCAUCCCAUUCAAAAUCUUCUUAGCGGAGAGCUGGCCCGUGCUUUGCUUAUCCAGGUUGUUACACGCUCAUUUAUUAUCUCUAUAUGUACGGAUACACUAUACUUGAUAGUAUUCUGUUUGUGUUGUUGCAGGUGCAGAAGCUAAAAUUAGAUAUUGAGACGUAAGUUAAAUAAGUUGCAACUUUUGGCACGCAAUACAUUUUAAAUCUUCAUCUUCCAUUUGUGGUUCAUAUUAUGAUGGCUUUUAAACAGGGCUAUGCUUGAGCUUGACCAGAUUCUCAAGGCAAAUGAAAUCAACUUUGCUGUUCUAGCUGCAUUGCCCGCAUUCUUUCUCUCACUUCUUUUGCUGAUGCUUUUGCGUACGUGGUAUAAACAGGUAUGUGCACUAAAAGCAAGUUUAGUUUAUAUCUUUUAAAGUUAAAUUAAAGUUUGAUGUUGUGCAUUCCGGAAAGAUGUUGUAGUAUGACAGUCACACUAGAGUGCUGAUACCUUCAUCUGUUACAUAGUCGUUAAGUUGAGUGGGUAGUGGGGCUAUCAACUUACUUAGAUUACUCUUAAACUUGGUCAAGUAUCGAAACUCCCAAGCCCACAAUACAUUUAAACAUUCUUUUAUGGUGUUUAGAUAUUUUAUAUUUUCCAAAUUGCCUUAAAUCAUCUGAGCUUUAAUAAUUCUUUGACCCAAAAGAAACCAGACAAAGUUAAAUUUUACAAUUCAUCUACCAGAAGAAUCCAAAAGCUAAAAUUGAGCAUCCUUUAGUUGAAAUUUAUUUUCUAUUGAAAGUAAUACAAAUACGUAUUUAUUUUAGUCGAGGUGCGCGUAAGCUAGGACACUCAUGGAUAUUAAAAGAAAAAUACAAAUACAUAUUUAUUUAGACCCUGUUUCAUAACAAUUUCAAUUUUAGUUUUCUGUUUUUGAAAACUGUGCUAGUUUUCUCUAUCCUCUUAUUAUAUUUUCCCCUCUUUUUAUGAAACAUCUAAUAUCUAGGCCAAAUUUCAAAAGCAAAAACAAGAUUAUAAAAACUAUAUCUAUAUUUGUACACAAUUUUUAAAAUUGGGAUGAACUUUGAAAUCUUAUUAGAAAGUAGAUGACAAAACAAAGAAACUUAAGGGUGGUGCGAGGAGGAUCAUGACCUUUUGAGUUAUCUUCAAAUAUAGCAAAAUGAACCAAAAUAUUCACAAAAUACAAUAGAAUAUCAUAGUCUAUCUACGAUGGACUGCUAUGGACCAACUAGUAGAUAAACUACUAUUUGAUAGACACAGAUGGUAGUCUAUCGUGGUCUAUGACAUAUAGAUUGUGAUAUUUUGCUAUAUUUGUAAGUAUUUUUAGAAGUUGUAAUUUAAAAUAAUUUCUUUAAAAAAAAUAAAUACAAACUAAUGUUACUUAUACGGGGAUAAGAAACAUUUGAUUGAUGAAUGAAAUAUCCAAAAAGCACAAUAUGGAGGGUACACCAAAUAUCAAAAGAUGCCCAAAACACAGGAAAAGAUACAACCGAUAAAGAUAAUAAGCAAAUGGGAUGAACUAAAGAUUUACAACCAAAUUGAAGAUAGAAAACAAAACCACAGGGGAUCUGAUGUAAUACCACAAGGAAGCACAUGUUGGAAUAUGACAGACGAUAGAAAGCCCAAAAAAUCAGGUCCCAAACGACCAAGUUCAAGAAACAAACAAGGAGGAAGUCCAUAGCACACUCAUGUUGAAGAUGACCCUUCUCCAAUCGAAUCUUUAGAUCAACAUUUGCCUUAAUUUUACUAAAUGAAGCAUUAAUUUUGUAACUUCAUUUUGAUUAAUUUUGGGUUGUUUCACAUGUGUUUUUAGUUUUUUCUUUGUCUAAUAUCACUCUAUGUUAAUUUAUUUGCAUAAAAGGAGACAAAGUCAGUUUAUUUACUCAUUAUGACAUUUAGGAUACUAGAGCUGAAGGGAAGGGAAGAGCUGCUCGGCUUCAGAGAAGACUACUAGUUGUGGAAGUGGAGAAAGCAAUAAUGCAAUACCAGAGUUUUGUUGACCAAGGACGUGUAAGGCAUUCAUUCUACUUGUUGGCUUCUCAACAUGUUUCUUCUCUGUUUGUUGACAUUUUGUUGCUAUAAAAGAAUUGUUUUUAGUUUGCAGAUCAGCAUGUGAAUGUAAACGUUAUGGAAUAAUUAAACCUAGUACGUUAAGCCACAAGUUUUUACUCUUUAUUUGCUAUAGAAAUUAGACAAUACACUAGUUAGGAAAGAGAAUAUCAAAUAAGAGGAGAACGGACCAGUGAUCUAAAUCAACCUUCAAAAUUAAGGGGAUUAAAUUAGAACUUCCCAUUGGUUCUAAUCAAACAAAGGUAGAGAAAAUAUAUACUAAUUCGCAGCCUAGAGAGAGGUGCCAACGCAUGCUCAGUAGAAAUCUUUUCUAUCUGAAAAAAGUUCCCUCUUUCUUACUAUCCUAAAUUUCUACAAAAUGUCAAUAGUCAAAACAUAGCACUUGUCUAGAUGAUUUAGCUUUGCGUUUAGGGUUGGGUAAAUCUCCCACAAAAUGUAAAACAUUGAACUUGUUCUAGUGACCCUGGCUUUUUUCUUUAGAGUAGGAUUAUUGAUAGGGAGGAGGUGCUCCUCCAUCCCCACCUUCCACAACAAGGGGCAAUGCCGCGUGGCAUUUUCUUUCUUUUACUUUUAUGGUUGAAGGGAAACGGGAAAAAGUUUUAAGAGCUUGAAAAAACUUGGGUGGAGUUGUGGUCGAUGUUGGGUUUAGCAUCUCUCUUUGGCCAUUAAUGACUACGACUUUUUGUAACUAUUCUCUUGAUUUGGUUCUUUUAAGUUGACUUUUUUUUAUUAUUAUUAAAAUUAAAUUUACUAUAAUCUACCAAAUUAAGCUUUUAGAUUGAUUAGUGACUUAAUAUGAUAUUAGAACCAGAGGUCCUGUGUUUCAACUUUUGUAAUUUCACUUCCUCUAAUUUUUUUUUAAACAAGCACAGAACUUUUUAUUGAUAAAAUGAAAAGAGACUAAUCUUCAAAAGAUGGAGAUUCUACACGGGAGUGAGGAAGAAAAGUGAUAAAAGAAGAAAAAUAACGAUCCACAGUUACAAUGAAAGAUACAAGGCAUUCCAAAUAUUACAUAUAACCUUUGAAGAGAAGCCAACAAAUGUAACGACCUAGCUUUUCUAAACUAAGUUGUGGUCGUUUUCAAAAGUAAAAAACAAUGCCAAAUCCUCAAAAACGAUGUUUGUAAAACAGAAGUAACCAAAAAACCAUUAAAAGGAAUUAGUUGUUCAGGCCCUAAGUAAAACAAUGAAAACAAUAUGUUCAUAAUAAAACCAUCUCAGACAUGGUAUAGAAAACAUAAGAAAAUCAUGAAAGAUAGCGGAAGAAAUAUCGUAGCGUUCCUCAUUUGGCCAGUCAUGGGUAUAUAAAAUAGGUAUUUCUCUAUCCUAAAAAGGCAAACACAACAUACAGAAGAAUAAGUUGUUUUUCUUCACGUUGCUUUAUUGGCAUUUAGUAUCCUGAGAGAAGAAUGAAAAUGUUCCCAUUUUUCUGAUUUGCAGGUAAAAGAUGCUGAAUGUAGAUUUGGGUUACUGUUGUAUAGUUUGGGUCGGUUGUACCAUGCUUCCGAGAAGCAUGCCAAAGCAACUGGUGAAUGGCUACAGUAAGUCUUAGUUCGGCUUUUCUUCUCUCUUUCUAGGGAAUACUUCCGAUCAGCAUGUGUUCCAGAAAGAUAAAGAUGCAAUAACAUGUCCUGCAUUAUAUAGAAAAUAAUCGUUUGAAAAUUGACGUGAAAACAUGUGACAAUCUUCUAGGUCAUGAGGAAUAGCAUUUUCAUAUAUAUUUACUUUUUUCACUGAUCUUAACCAGGAAUUUAUUUUAAAGAGAAAAAUUUUCUGAGUAAGGAGGGGCUAAAACAAUCCUAACAUGUCCCUCAAAACACCUUCUACAUUAAAGAAGAAAUUAGAUUUUUUAAUGAAAAGAUACUAAUGGUGAAAUAUAUGCAUACUAUAGGGGAGGGAAAAAGGACCAGAAGUGAAAAAUAAAAAAGAAAAGUGCCUAAAACCGAAAAAAAGAACCGAAAGAUUUGCAAAUAGCUUAAGGUUUCAAGUUUCAACCAAACUUGAAACUUCGAACAAACCUCAAAAAACCAAAUACAUCUGAACAUCCCAUCCUUUGAAUUGAAAAUUAAAGGGAUGUUAGUACGUAUUUGCAUAAAUCCUCAUCUACAAAUGCACUAAUUGACCCAAAAGCUUAAGCUAGUGGGUGAAGGUAAAUUUAAAAUUAUGUCAUUUUAACGACCUUGUUUUGCUCAAAACUCUCAUAAUGGUUGCUUCCCUCGUAGCAGUUAAACGUGCUGAAGAACAGAAGGUUUUUGUUUUAGAUUUUGAUAGUAGAAAGGGUAGCAGUGAGAUUUUUUUUUCUUUUAUACUUAUCAAUAUCAUCUCCUUGGGACCACUCUAGGAACAGAUCUUGGGAUAUGACAAAACUGUGAGAAAUCACUUUUGUACUAUGGAUCAUUCCCAUGAGCCAUUAUUGGAGUUCAAAACUUAGUAUCUUUGGAACCUUUAGCCACAAUGAGAUUAGAAAAGAUAGGAGUAGAGAUUAAAUGAAGGGAAAUAGUUUUACUUGAGAAGAACUUCACAGGGCGACUUUUAAUAUGCUUAACUAAAGAAAGGUAUCAAAGUAAAUUUACUCAAGAUAAGUUAAGAGGAGGAGCAAUUUGAUGAAAUUUUACAAAACAUCAAACAAUUUUGGGUUGAAUAAUAAGUCGGACACAUAAUGAGAUUAAGAGAACACGUGAAGUAGGAAACAAAUAUCUUCUUUGAAACCUGUUUCUGCAGUUUGUUGCUUGGCUCUCCCUCUUUUUGUGAAUUUUUUUUAUGUCCUUUAUUCUUUCUUUUUUUUUUCAAUGAAAACUUAGUUUAUCAUUAAGAAAAAGAAGAAGCAAAUAUCCUCUUUAAAACAAGGAAUCCUUUGACCAUCGUCUAUCAUUAUCAUCUCCUUGUUGCACUCGUUCUUUAUCAACCCCCUUUUCGUGUUCUUUUUCUUUUUGUGGUUUAUUGAAUUUUCAUUCUCAAAAUCCUGGUCUUGACCUUACGUAAAAGCUAUUGCUUUUUUAGAUAAAUCACAUCUUAAGAUUGUAUUCACUCUGCUCUUCGCUUGAGUUUUUAAUGGGAAAUGGACAGAGCAAGCGGUUGUUUGUUGUUGUGCACACUAAAUUGAGCACUUAAUAGUUACUUGUAAUGUAAAAAUAUUAAAUUUGGUUAUUGUGCUUUUCCAUAAUGUAGUACAUCUACAGUAAGCUGAUAUCUAACUUGAUAAACAGUUUGAGGCAGGAUAUUUUGGACCUGGGAAAGCCCAGUCUUCCAACAAGAGAUAAGCUCAGAAUUACGUGGCGCAUGGAACGGGUAUACGAUUGUUUACUUCCUGCAUUGAAACGUUCAUAACGAUCAACUUUUUCUUCUAUUCAACUCUCCAGAACAUUUAUUAUUAUUAUUAUUUACUGAAUGGAAGUAUUUUGCUCCCACUUCCAAGCCUAAUGCUUUUUUCAACCUGCAUUUCGGCCUCAGUUAAACCACCUAGUUUUUGUUGUUGAGAAAGAAAGAUGCACAAUGAUGUCUGGCGUUUUUCUUUUUAUUGUCCUGAUAACUUUUGUCUUCGUAUCAGUUUUGAACUCUGUAAGAAUACUCUUUAGUAAU